rnacentral:rRNA from 1 species
AAAGUCGUAACAAGGUUUCCGUUGGUGAACCAGCGGAGGGAUCAUUA